rnacentral:tRNA from 1 species
GGCUUUAUAUUCAAUUAUGAUAUUAAAUUGCAAAUUUAAAGGAGAGUAAACCUCUAAGGCUU